rnacentral:rRNA from 1 species
GAUGAACGCUGGCGGCGUGCCUAAUACAUGCAAGUCGAGCGAACAGAUGAGGAGCUUGCUCCUCUGACGUUAGCGGCGGACGGGUGAAUAACACGUGGAUAACCUACCUAUAAGACUGGGAUAACUUCGGGAAACCGGAGCUAAUACCGGAUAAGAUAUUGAACCGCAGGGUGCAAUAGUGAAAGACGGUGUUGCUGGCACGUAUAGAUGGUUCCGCGCCGCAUUAGCUAGUUGGUAAGGUAACGGCUUACCAAGGCAACGAUGCGUAGCCGACAUGAGAGGGUGAGCGGCCACACUGGAACUGAGACACGGUCCAGACUCCUACGGGAGGCAGCAGUAGGGAAUCUUCCGCAAUGGGCGAAAGCUUGACGGAGCAACGCCGCGUGAGUGAUGAAGGUCUUCGGAUCGUAAAACUCUGUUAUUAGGGAAGAACCAAUGUGUAAGUAACUAUGAACGUCUUGACGGUACCUAAUCAGAAAGCCACGGCUAACUACGUG